rnacentral:rRNA from 1 species
UCGGGAAUUUUGCUCAAUGGGGGAAACCCUGAAGCAGCAACGCCGCGUGAGGGAUGAAGGCCUUCGGGUUGUAAACCUCUUUUCUCAGGGACGAUGAUGACGGUACCUGAGGAAUAAGCCACGGCUAACUACGUGCCAGCAGCCGCGGUAAUACGUAGGUGGCAAGCGUUGUCCGGAUUUACUGGGCGUAAAGAGCGCGCAGGCGGCCAAGUCAGUCGAAUGUGAAAGCCCCCGGCUCAACUGGGGAAGGUCAUUCGAUACUGCCUGGCUCGAAGAUGGGAGAGGGAAGCGGAAUUUCAGGUGUAGUGGUGAAAUGCGUAGAUAUCUGAAGGAACACCAGUGGCGAAGGCGGCUUUCUGGCCCACUCUUGACGCUGAGGCGCGAAAGCUAGGGGAGCGAACGGGAUUAGAUACCCCCGUAGUCC